AUGUUCAAGCGGUCCGUCACGUUCUUGGAGCGCGACGACUCGGACUUGGCAGCACAGGUGGCCGUGUGGGGCCAUCUGCACGAGUUCGGCGACAUGACAUGGCUGCCACGCCAGGGGAAGGUCAUCUACCGCGAGGAUGACCGUGUCGAUGUCUCGUCGCCCGGCGAUGGCCUCAACGACUACCUCGGCUUCCGCUCCUUCCCGACGCUGGGGCUCAUCAUCGCAAGAGUCGCGGAGGAGCAUGUGGAGGAAAGCAACGACAUGGCACGGUGCCUAGCCGCAGGGGUGCUGCCUGCAUCAUUCCCCAUGCAGGCGUAUGGCUUCACGAACGACGGUUCCUCCUUCACGGGAUACCCGGUGGUCGGCGUCACGCUCUCCAAAGCCCCAGCGUUGGUCGCCGACAUGCAACGACUCCGCGACCUGAACCCGCGCGCCCUAUGCAGCCUCGACGCGAAGAUGGGCAUGCUCAUCCGCUACGUUGGGGCCUCCUCCGCCUACCUCGGCAAGACGGAGGACUCGGUCAACUUUGACUUCACCUACUACCGGAGCUACACCCAAGGCAGGCCGCGUGCUCACUCUGAUGUGAUCGACGAGCUCGAACAAAUGGCUUUGCGCAAGUAUGGCGCAGUCCCGCAAUGGGGCAAGAACCGCAACUUCGCCUUCGACGGCGCCAUCGCCAAGUACGCAAAGGCCGGCGAGUUCCUCAAAGUGAAGGAGAGGUACGACCCAGACGGGGUCUUCUCUAGCGAGUGGAGCGACCACGUGCUCGGCAUUGAUGGUAGCCCCAACAUAGUCCAAAAGGGUUGCGCCAUCGAAGGGCUUUGCAUAUGCUCUCACGACUCGCACUGCGCGCCAGAACAAGGCUAUUACUGUCGGCCUGGAAAGGUGUACACGGAGGCAAGGGUAUGCUCCUUCCGACCCACCUCACACCGCGACCACAACGACGAAAUAUGA
rnacentral:rRNA from 1 species